CUAGAUAUUGUUUAAUUAAAUCAAUUAUACAUAGUACUUUAACUUACCAACCAUAUUUGCAAACAUACGUAUAGUUUCACUAAUCCAUUUCAUAUAUAUAUACCAAAAUAUUUCAAGUACCUCAAAUUAGAUAGAAAUUCAAGAGUUUACAUUUUAGUUCCUAAUAUGUGGAAAUAUAACUGACUGCCUAUGUACAUGCCAUUUUAAUUCAAAAUAUGGUACCUACUUUUGAAACUCUUGAGGAUGUGAUGAGAUGAGAGAUCUUCUAUCCUGACUUUAUCUCUUCAAGUCAAACUGUACCUACGCGUUAAAAUUAAACGCGUUAAGCCGGUGAAGACUUAGUAAGCACUACAAGAAUAAACAAAUAAAUAAAUGUAAAUAAAAUAUUUCGAACUCAUUCUGUUGUUGCGUAUUUACGUACGUAUAAGCUUCAUAAAACUUACCUUAGCAUAUUAAUGAUUCGCUUUUAUCCACAAAUCAUAAUCUUAGCCCAAAAUAGAUUUUCAUAGAACACACCGGAUAUACGGAACAAAUACAGAGGUGCAUUAUUAUGCACUAAUGAACAGAGAGCACUAAAGUGCUAUACAGAGAGCACAGAUGUGCUAAACAGAGAGCACUGACGUGCUAAAUAUCAGAGAGCACCAACGUGCUAAUAGUCAGAGAGCACUAACGUGCUAAUAAUCAGAGAGCACUAACGUGCUAAUAAUCAGAGAGCGCGCUAAAGUUCCUUAAUGGCAUGCCACUAAUAUCCUGGUAGUUCUAAAUUCCAUCUACUUGGGCACUAAAACUGAAUCUCAUUCAUUUAAAUACUUUAUAGAAUUAUUUUGAAAAAGAUUUCUCAUUUCUCCAUCAUUACAAUUCAAUGCUUAUUUCACAAUUCACAAUUAUCACACCAUUUUCACACACACACACACAUAUAUAUACACUUUUGUCACAACAUUACUUAUUGUUCAAACAUUAUACCAUCUUAUAUUUUCCAUAUAUAAUUUUUCUUUACAAAUUUCAUAGUUCCAUAAUCUUUUAUUUUACUUUAUUUUAUUUUAUUUCUAAAUAGUUCUAUACUAUAAUAUAGGCAUUUAAAAUAAAUAAUUUCUAAAAAAAAUAAUCUUGUAGUACUUACAACAAAAAGGUUGAGAUGAUGUCUUCCUUCACUCCUUAGCCUUCUCUUUUCCUUUUUCUUCAAUAAGGUCCUUUCCUUUCCUUUCUUUCUCUUCAAUUUCAUAUAAAACACAUAAUAUUUAUAUAUUAGAAAAACAAUCAAAUAACUUUCCUAUAUCAUUUAAUAAAAAUAAACAUAUAUGAUAUAAUAAUUUCAUAAUUUCUUACCUUAGCUAAUAUUUCAAUUUAAUUCAUAACUAAAAUUAUUUCUAUUUCUAUCACAACCUAUACCUUAUUUCUACUUAAAUUCAACUUACACCUUAACUUAACUCUCAAAUUUUCACUAAUAAACCUUAAUUUCGAAUUUCUUACAAUUUUACAUUAAACUUAUAACUUAUUUCUCAAUUUCAUCCUUUUCCCAAUCCUAGUUUGAAUUUCCAUCAAUUCAACCUCUAAUUCAUCCACUAAUUCAAUAUAAACUACAUAAAAAAAUUCUACUAACUUUCAAAAUUUCAACAUAUACCUACUAGUAUUUUGAUCUAGAAUCAUAAAAACUCAAAAAUUUCAAGAAAAUGACUUAAUUUGACUUACCGAUUUGAAAUUGAACCUUAAAACCCUAAAUUCCUUCUUUACUUUUUCUUUCUUUCUUUCUCCCCUGUUUCUCCCCUGUUUCGUUUCAAAUGCUA
rnacentral:lncRNA from 1 species